CUUCGUUCUCUCUCAUCUCUCCCUUCCCUUUCUUUUCUUUUUCUGUUCACUCUUCACUCAUUCUCCAACCCUCCUGAUCUUCUCCUCAUCUUUUCUUCUCGUUUAUCUCCAAUGGUGGCUUGUUUUGCAGGGGAUGUGUGAUAUUGAGUAAUGAAGGUGGUGAUUCUAAUUGAAGUUGUGGUAAUUCAAUGCACAAGAGGUGUCUUUUUGAGCCUUUAAUUACUUCUAGGGACAUUUGAGAGAGCUUCAUAAAGCCAUUGUCAGCUUGGGCAGAUUCGUUAAGAGAGCUAAGGAAUUUUGAAUUUCUUCUUGAACCCAUCUAUGUACACUUGAGAUGGCAGAAUUAAAAUGAUGGGAGAUUGUGUUGGUUUUCUCUUACCAUCCCUCCCCGUACUUACACCUAUUUCUUAUCUUUCUUUUUUUCUGGUUUUUUGGUGUGGUUGUAAUUGUUUUAGUACCAUUUACACCCUCUUUUGGACAUGAAGCAUCACAUCCUCUCGUACGAUCAUGGAGCAUACUUUGUUUUGGACAGUCAAAGUAUCAAAUCUUCUCAAACUUCAUAGGAUUGACUUUGUAGGGUUAGUUCAAGACAAUAUAAAUGU